rnacentral:rRNA from 1 species
GACGAACGCUGGCGGCGUGCUUAACACAUGCAAGUCGAACGGAAAGGCCCUGCUCUUGUGGGGUGCUCGAUUGGCGAACGGGUGAGUAACACGUGAGUAAACUGCCCCUGACUUUGGGAUAACUUCAGGAAACUGGGGCUAAUAUCGGAUAGGAGCUCCUGCAGCAUGGUGGGGGAUGGAAAGUUUCGGCGGUUGUGGAUGGACUCGCGGCUUAUCAGCUUGUUGGUGGGGUAGGUGCUUACCAAGGCUAUGACGGGUAGCCGGCCUGGGAGGGUGACCGGCCACAUUGGGACUGAGGUACGGCCCAGACUCCUACGGGAGGCAGCAGUGGGGAAUAUUGCACAAUGGGCGGAAGCCUGAUGCAGCAACGCCGCGUGCGGGAUGACGGCCUUCGGGUUGUAAACCGCUUUCGCCUGUGACGAAGCGUGAGUGACGGUAAUGGGUAAAGAAGCACCGGCUAACUACGUG